rnacentral:rRNA from 1 species
UACGUAGGGGGCAAGCGUUGUCCGGAUUCAUUGGGCGUAAAGAGCGUGUAGGCGGCCAGGUAGGUCGGUUGUGAAAACUGGAGGCUCAACCUUCAGAGGUCGACCGAAACCAUCUGGCUAGAGUCCGGGAGAGGAGAGUGGAAUUCCGUGGUGUGAGCGGUGAAAUGACGCAGAUAUCAGGAAGAACACCCGUGGCGAAAGCGGCUCUCUGGAACGGUACUGACGCUGAGACGCGAAAGCGUGGGGAGCGAACAGG